rnacentral:rRNA from 1 species
GCUCCAAUAGCGUAUAUUAAAGUUGUUGCAGUUAAAAAGCUCGUAGUUGGAUUUCAAGGUGGAUGGAGUAUUAACUCUUAAAGCCUAUCAGUCGAAAAGAACUGUUACUGUGAGAAAAAUUAGAGUGUUCAAGCAGGCAAUUGCAGGAAUACAUUAGCAUGGAAUAACGAGUGUGGCUAGAAUCUUGGUUAAUUCUAGUU